GAGCCUUGGAUCUAUUCAGUGUUUCUCUCAUGGCCUCAAUCAUUAAUGCUGGGAGGUUUAGGGGGGUUUGGGUGAUCACAUGAAACAUGAUGCAGAUGUCUCGGCCUGAAAGGAGGUCAUGUCUACCACUUCUUGGGAAGAAAAGCUUUGUUACCAAUUGAUGUAGAAUCCUCAUUUCAAUGGACAUGAUCUUGGCUUCUAGUUUAUUUAGGCUUUCCGAGUAGGUUCCUCCUAAAAUCACAUUAAUUCCUUCUUCCUUCACUGGGAGUUCCAUGUUUGAAUAUCCCUCACAAGGCAAAUGAAGAAUCUCUCCCA
rnacentral:lncRNA from 1 species